rnacentral:rRNA from 1 species
UACGGGGGGGGGCAAGCGUUGUUCGGAAUUACUGGGCGUAAAGGGCGCGUAGGCGGCGUAACAAGUCACUUGUGAAAUCUCCGGGCUUAACCCGGAGCGGCCAAGUGAUACUGUUGUGCUAGAGUGCAGAAGGGGCAACUGGAAUUCUCGGUGUAGCGGUGAAAUGCGUAGAUAUCUGGAGGAACACCGGUGGCGAAGGCGGCAUCCUGGACCAACACUGACACUGAGGAGCGAAAGCCAGGGGAGCAAACGGG